UACGUAGGGUGCAAGCGUUGUCCGGAAUUAUUGGGCGUAAAGAGCUCGCAGGCGGCUAUGUAAGUCUGGUGUAUAACCUCGGGGCUCAACCCCGGGUCGCACUGGAAACUGUGUAGCUUGAGUACAGAAGAGGAGAGUGGAAUUCCACGUGUAGCGGUGAAAUGCGUAGAUAUGUGGAGGAACACCAGUGGCGAAGGCGACUCUCUGGGCUGUAACUGACGCUGAGGCGCGAAAGCGUGGGGAGCAAACAGG
rnacentral:rRNA from 1 species